rnacentral:tRNA from 2 species
GGGGGUGUAGCUCAGUUGGGAGAGCAUCUGCCUUGCACGCAGAAGGUCGCAGGUUCGAUCCCUGUCACCUCCACCA